ACAGUGGUUUCCAACCUUGUUGCCCACUCCAGGCACAGAACUUUCCCAGACCUGUGGAGAUUGGCAUUGCAGCUGAACUUGUGCCUGGACUGCAAAGUCACAGAGAAAGGGGUUCUCUGUGCAUCUCUCGAUACCCUAGAGCUCACUGUGGAGGAAGAAGAGGGCCUGAAACUCACAGAAAUCUACCAGACUAUGCCUCAUAACCUCUGGGAUGAAAAGUGUUCCCCACCCACAACCAGCAUCAAGAAAAUGUUUAAAGGGCGUAUUGGAAGAUUGUCCUGAAGGGAGGCAAACCCUCCCUAACUCGCAGCCAUUAAAACUUUACUGAUAUUCUGUUACUCUCUUGUCCAUUUACAGCUAUCUCAUUCUUCUAUGAUUGUGUUGAAAUGUUUUCUGGGCCCUUGAUCUGGGAAUCUUCUCCUUUGAUUCCUAUUAUUCUCAGGUUUGAUCUUUUCAGAGUGUCCCAAAUUUCCCACGUUUUGUGUCAUAAACUGUUUACAUUUUUCAUUUUGCUUGACUGAUGUAUCAAUUUCUUCUCUCAUCUCUUCUGUCCCUAGGGUUCCGUAUUCAGUCUCUGGUAUUCUUACGUCUGUACUUCCUGUCCUCUUUCCUAGGUUUCCCAUCUCCAGGAUUGCCUCAGUUUCUGUUCUUUACUGCUUCUGUUUCCACUUUUAGGAUUCAGACAUUGUUUUUUCAUAGCCUUCACCUGUUUGGUUGUAUUUAUUUGCUUAAUCUUUUAAUGCCUCUAUCUGUUCAAAUGUCUUCCUGAUUUCUUUAAUGGAUUUAUUCAAUUUUGUAAGACCGGAUUGAAGAUUAUCUUCUUGUGCUUCAGUUUCAUUUGGAUAUCCAGGGCUCUGUAGCAGGAUAGCUGGGCUCUGGUGGUGCCAUGGUGCCCUGGAUCUUGUUGGUUAUGUUUUUGCUCUGUCCUUCAGGCAUCUGGUUUUCCCUGGUGUUGGCUGGUUGACCCUGAUGUCCUCAGAACUUCUUGGGAAGGCAAGAGGAGCUGUGGACAGACAAUGAAGCUCAGAAGACCCAACUCUGUUGGGUGUUCUCCUAACUGGGCUGCCUGUCUGAUGUUAGUAAAAGAGGAUACAACCAGUCCUACAGGAUCUUGAUGUGCCAUGGAGGGAAACAAAGGGGAGAGAGGAAUAGGGGAAGGAUCUGUGUAAGGAGGUACCAGGAGGAGAUGGCGAUUGACAUUGGGAUGUAAACUGAAUAAAUAAUUUUUUUUAA